rnacentral:rRNA from 1 species
CUCGAGCGGCGAACGGGUGAGUAACACGUGAGUAAUCUGCCUCUGGCUUCGGGAUAGCCACCGGAAACGGUGAUUAAUACCGGAUACGACACGCUCUUGCAUGAGAUGUGUGUGGAAAGUUUUUUCGGCCAGGGAUGUGCUCGCGGCCUAUCAGCUUGUUGGUGGGGUAAUGGCCUACCAAGGCUUCGACGGGUAGCCGGCCUGAGAGGGUGACCGGCCACACUGGGACUGAGACACGGCCCAGACUCCUACGGGAGGCAGCAGUGGGGAAUAUUGGACAAUGGGCGGAAGCCUGAUCCAGCAACGCCGCGUGAGGGAUGACGGCCUUCGGGUUGUAAACCUCUUUCAGCACAGACGAAGCGCAAGUGACGGUAUGUGCAGAAGAAGGACCGGCCAACUACGUGCCAGCAGCCGCGGUAAUACGUAGGGUCCGAGCGUUGUCCGGAAUUAUUGGGCGUAAAGGGCUCGUAGGCGGUUUGUCGCGUCGGGAGUGAAAACACCGGGCUUAACUCGGUGCUUGCUUUCGAUACGGGCAGACUAGAGGCAUUCAGGGGAGAACGGAAUUCCUGGUGUAGCGGUGAAAUGCGCAGAUAUCAGGAGGAACACCGGUGGCGAAGGCGGUUCUCUGGGAAUGUCCUGACGCUGAGGAGCGAAAGUGUG